ACGCUGGCGGCAGGCCUAACACAUGCAAGUCGAGCGGUAGAGAGAAGCUUGCUUCUCUUGAGAGCGGCGGACGGGUGAGUAAUGCCUAGGAAUCUGCCUGGUAGUGGGGGAUAACGUUCGGAAACGGACGCUAAUACCGCAUACGUCCUACGGGAGAAAGCAGGGGACCUUCGGGCCUUGCGCUAUCAGAUGAGCCUAGGUCGGAUUAGCUAGUUGGUGAGGUAAUGGCUCACCAAGGCGACGAUCCGUAACUGGUCUGAGAGGAUGAUCAGUCACACUGGAACUGAGACAAGGUCCAGACUCCUACGGGAGGCAGCAGUGGGGAAUAUUGGACAAUGGGCGAAAGCCUGAUCCAGCCAUGCCGCGUGUGUGAAGAAGGUCUUCGGAUUGUAAAGCACUUUAAGUUGGGAGGAAGGGCAGUUACCUAAUACGUGAUUGUUUUGACGUUACCGACAGAAUAAGCACCGGCUAACUCUGUGCCAGCAGCCGCGGUAAUACAGAGGGUGCAAGCGUUAAUCGGAAUUACUGGGCGUAAAGCGCGCGUAGGUGGUUAGUUAAGUUGGAUGUGAAAUCCCCGGGCUCACCUGGGAACUGCAUUCAAAACUGACUGACUAGAGUAUGGUAGAGGGUGGUGGAAUUUCCUGU
rnacentral:rRNA from 1 species